rnacentral:rRNA from 1 species
AGAGUUUGAUCCUGGCUCAGAAUGAACGUUGGCGGCAUGGAUUAGGCAUGCAAGUCGCACGAAUCCCAGCAAUGGGGGAAGUGGCGUAAGGGGCAGUAAGGCAUGGGUCACCUACCCGGGGGUUGGGCAUAGCCUGUAGAAAUACAGGGUAAUUCCCGAUGAUGUCGUAAGACCAAAGCUCCGGUGCCCUCGGAGGGGCCCAUGUGGUAUUAGCUAGUUGGUGGGGUAACGGCCCACCAAGGCGAAGAUGCCUAGCGGGUGUGAGAGCACGACCCGCGCCACUGGCACUGAGACACUGGCCAGACACCUACGGGUGGCUGCAGUCGAGAAUCUUCGGCAAUGGGCGCAAGCCUGACCGAGCGAUGCCGCGUGGGCGAUGAAGGCCUUCGGGUUGUAAAGCCCUGUCGAGGGGGAGAAAAGGGCAACCUUGAUCUAUCCCUGGAGGAAGGACGGGCUAAGUUCGUGCCAGCAGCCGCGGUAAGACGAACCGUCCGAACGUUAUUCGGAAUCACUGGGCUUAAAGGGCGCGUAGGCGGGCUGCCAAGUCCGGGGUGAAAUCCUCCAGCUUAACUGGAGAACGGCCCCGGAUACUGGAAGUCUCGAGGGGGAUAGGGGCACACGGAACUUAUGGUGGAGCGGUGAAAUGCGUUGAUAUCAUAAGGAACUCCGGUGGCGAAGGCGGUGUGCUGGAUCCCUUCUGACGCUGAGGCGCGAAAGCCAGGGGAGCAAACGGGAUUAGAUACCCUGGUAGUCC